CCCGCUGAACUUAAGCAUAUCAAUAAGCGGAGGAAAAGAAACUAACAAGGAUUCCCCUAGUAACUGCGAGUGAAGCGGCAACAGCUCAAAUUUGAAAUCUGGCCUCUCGGGGUCCGAGUUGUAAUUUGUAGAGGAUGUUUCGGGUACCGCUCCGGUUUAAAUUUCUUGGAACAGAAUGUCAGAGAGGGUGAGAAUCCCGUCUUGGACCGGUGGUAGGGCCUAUGUGAAACUCCUUCGACGAGUCGAGUUGUUUGGGAAUGCAGCUCAAAAUGGGUGGUAAAUUUCAUCUAAAGCUAAAUAUUGGCCAGAGACCGAUAGCGCACAAGUAGAGUGAUCGAAAGAUGAAAAGCACUUUGAAAAGAGAGUUAAACAGUAUGUGAAAUUGUUGAAAGGGAAGCGCUUGCAACCAGACUUGCGCGCGGUGGUUCCCCCUUCCUUUUGGUUGGGUUAUUCCAUCGUGUCCAGGCCAACAUCGGUUUCGGGGGUCGGUUAAAGGCUCUGGGAAUGUAUCUACCCUUCGGGCGUAGACUUAUAGCCCAGAGUGUCAUGCGACCUCCCGGGACCGAGGAACGCGCUUCGGCUCGGAUGUUGGCGUAAUGGUUGUCAGCGACCCGUCUUGAAACACGG
rnacentral:rRNA from 1 species